rnacentral:rRNA from 1 species
ACCCGUGCAAACCGGGUUGCCCUGAUGCCCAACAGCUAGCCCACCCGAUUAUUUCAACCUUAUAAUAUUAAUAACCCUAAAUACAAUAAAUACAAUUAAUUAAACCAUUCUCCCCCUUUAGUAUGAGCGACAGAAAAAGAAUUCGGCGCGAUAAAGAAAGURCCGCAAGGGAAAGCUGAAAAAGAAAUGAAAUAACCCAGUUAAGCACUAAAAAGCAGAGACUUCCCCUCGUACCUUUUGCAUCAUGUUUUAGMUAGUGCUCCUCAAGCAAAAAGCCCUUUAGUUUGAAAACCCGAAACCAGGUGAGCUACUCCAAGACAGCCUUGUUAUUAGGGCUAACCCGUCUCUGUGGCAAAAGAGUGGGAAGAGCUUCGAGUAGAGGUGACAGACCUACCGAACCUUGUUAUAGCUGGUUGCCUAAAAAUUGAAUAGAAGUUCAGCCUCUAAACUUUUCCAAUCACACAUAAAAUUUUGAUCAAGAAAAGAGAAGUUUAUAGAGUUAGUCAAAAGGGGUACAGCCCUUUUGAAACAGAUACAACUUUUAUGGGCGGAUAAAAAUCAAAAUUUAUAUAAGACUAAAUAUUUAAGUGGGCCUAAAAGCAGCCACCUACUCAGAAAGCGUUAAAGCUCAAAUAUUAAAAAUUGUCUAAAAUCAAGAUAAUAAUAUUUUAUUCCCCCAGUUAUAUUAGGCCUCCCCAUAAAAUUUAUGGGGGCGAUUAUGCUAAUAUGAGUAAUCAGAGGGUACCAGCCCUCUCCUAAGCGCAGGUGUACCCCGGAACGAACCCCCACCGAACAUUAAACGGCCCCAAAAAAAGAGGGAGCCAGGUCAAAUAAAGAAAACUAGAAAACCACCUGUAAAAUACCGUUAAUCCCACACUGGCGCGCCCUUAUGGAAAGAUUAAAAGGAAAAGAAGGAACUCGGCAAAUCCUAAAUAGCCUCGCCUGUUUACCAAAAACAUCGCCUCUUGCCUUAACAGAAUAAGAGGUCCCGCCUGCCCCGUGACUAUAAGUUUAACGGCCGCGGUAUUUUGACCGUGCGAAGGUAGCGAAAUCACUUA